GCACUGCAUCAGGCCUACCUACUGCUACCUCCGGCUGUCUGCCCUGCUGGCUUCAUCGGACAAAACAAGUCGCAGGAAGCUGUACCACGUGCACUGCACUGGGACCACCUGACCAGCACGGUGACGUCGACGGAGACAUCGUGGCACCCGGAUAAAAGCAGCAGCCUUUUCGACGUUCCCUUCAGUGGACUUGGAAGCACCGAACGAGCACGGAUGCUGAUCAAAUUUUUUCUGAUCGCACAGAGUUCAUCACUUGUGCAUGUGCAACACAUUGGCGGAGGCAAUACGAACUGCAUUUCUUACUAGCUGGACAAGUCAGAAUGACAAUGCACCUUGGAGAACAAGACUCGAAUUGUGAAAGUCUGGUGGUUUCACAGAACUUUGUUUUAUGUCAAGAUGGGCUGACACCAUGUCACCUGAUGCUGUCACUCUCUGGUAAGCAUGUUAAAAAAAUAAAAACAAUCCAGUUUGAACA
rnacentral:misc_RNA from 1 species